UAUUCCGUGUUAUCACCAUCACAGCUGCAAGAAACCAAAGCUAACUCUAGAAUGAUCUAUAUCAACCUCCCAUCAACCUCGCUCUCUUUACGUCUCGUCUCCAGAACUCCGUGGACGUGACAACCACCUCCGACAUAUCUCUGGACGGCACGGGGGAACCACUGACAAGAGAAGAGGCUGCCACCAGGAUCGAGGCUAACCCCGCACUGCGCAGAUUCUGUCGUGGCGCGAAACUGAUUGACGCCACGCCACUUACCACUCUGCCCACCGAUCUGGAGACCAGAGACCGCGUCCUGUCCACAAUCGACGCAAAGAUCACCAUGGUCACACCCGUCCCUCCACCACGUCCUACCGGGGGCGCCCCUGGAGGUGAAGGUGAAGGUGCAGGUGAAGGUGCAGGUCAAGGACAGGGAGGUGGCCGCGGCGGAGGCAGAGGCGGACGUGGUGGCGGACGUGGUGGCGGACGUGGGGGAGGGCGUUUCGGACGCGGGGGGCGUGGUGGCCGAGGGGGGCGUGGUUAAUGCGGAAGGGAACGCGAACGCCAUGAUAAAUGUAUUAUUAUCCUGGUGAAGGAACGAUCCAGAAAUCGCGGAGCGACGAACGAGCAGUGUCCAAUCAACACGAUAGUUCACUGGAUGUUCGUUUAUACUCCAAGGUCCCAUUUGUCCUUCAACUGAUGUCAUCAUUUAUUAGCGAAACAAUUUUAGAAAAUAAUGUUAAUUGUUUUCUUUCUUUAUCCUUUUUUCCAAGCACUUUCAUUACUUUCUUAGAUCGGGAUUCUAUUUUGGUAGUAUGAGGUUGUUUUGUGUGGUUAUGCAACAUACGAGCACGCACUCUUGUAAGAUGUCAUAGCAUGGUUCCAUCUGCUGAAACAUCUUGAAUAAACGAAAAGACGCUUAUCAUAAAUAUUAUGAAA